rnacentral:SRP_RNA from 1 species
GCAGUGGCAGGUGCCAGCAGUCCCAGCUACUUGGGAUGCUGAGGCGGGAGGCUGGCUUCUGUCCAGGAGUUCUGGGCUAUAGUGCACUGUGGCAACUGAGUGUCCACACUACGUUCAGCAUCACUAUGGUGACCUUCUGGGAUGGUGGAGGGGAGCAGGGGGAGGUGGGGUGGCCAUAGAUUGCCUAAGGAGGGGUAAACUGGCCCAGGUCAGAAACAGAGCAGGUCAAAACUUCCAUGCCGAUCAGUAUUGGGAUCAUACCUAUGAAUAGCCGAUCAGUAUUAGGAUCGUACCUAUGAAUAGCCACUGCACUCCAGCCUGGGCAAUAUAGUGAGACCCCAACUCUA